AUGAUAACAACAAUUUAGUCAUCCUCAAAAUGGAUAACACCAUGGUAACUUCGGAAUCGUGAAUUCUUCGGUGUUUCACUUUUCAUAGCAAGACUCCGCCUUGAAGUAAUUUCGAAUUUUGAGUAAUUCUGGUCACAUAAGGAAAUCAUUCCUAAAGCUUUCGAGGUCUCGGAAAUAGUAUAUAACUCCAUCGACAAGGUUCGGAUAGACAGAGCGGCGUGCCUCCUCAGUAGGACCCCCAGGAUCAGCGUUGGGUUUCGCACUCCACUUCUUCGGAGUUGCUGACUUUGAGUCCAUAAGUACUAUUACAGAUAUAUAUGUGUGGUUUUGGGCAU